UGGGGAAUAUUGGACAAUGGGCGAAAGCCUGAUCCAGCCAUGCCGCGUGUGUGAAGAAGGUCUUCGGAUUGUAAAGCACUUUAAGUUGGGAGGAAGGGCAGUAAGCGAAUACCUUGCUGUUUUGACGUUACCGACAGAAUAAGCACCGGCUAACUCUGUGCCAGCAGCCGCGGUAAUACAGAGGGUGCAAGCGUUAAUCGGAAUUACUGGGCGUAAAGCGCGCGUAGGUGGUUCGUUAAGUUGAAUGUGAAAGCCCCGGGCUCAACCUGGGAACUGCAUCCAGAACUGGCGAGCUAGAGUAGGGCAGAGGGUGGUUGAAUUUCCUGUGUAGCGGUGAAAUGCGUAGAUAUAGGAAGGAACACCGGUGGAGAAGGCGACCACCUGGGCUCAUACUGACACUGAGGUGCGAAAGCGUGGGGAGCAAACAGG
rnacentral:rRNA from 1 species